rnacentral:rRNA from 2 species
GAAAAGUUCUGAUUGGAGCAACCCCGCGUGAGUGAAGAAGGGUUUCGGCUCGUAAAACUUUUGUUGUUAAAGAAGAACAUAUCUGAGAGUAACUGUUCAGGUAUUGACGGUAUUUAACCAGAAAGCCACGGCUAACUACGUGCCAGCAGCCGCGGUAAUACGUAGGUGGCAAGCGUUGUCCGGAUUUAUUGGGCGUAAAGCGAGCGCAGGCGGUUUUUUAAGUCUGAUGUGAAAGCCUUCGGCUCAACCGAAGAAGUGCAUCGGAAACUGGGAAACUUGAGUGCAGAAGAGGACAGUGGAACUCCAUGUGUAGCGGUGAAAUGCGUAGAUAUAUGGAAGAACACCAGUGGCGAAGGCGGCUGUCUGGUCUGUAACUGACGCUGAGGCUCGAAAGUAUGGGUAGCAAACAGGAUUAGAUACCCUGGUAGUCCAUACCGUAAACGAUGAAUGCUAAGUGUUGGAGGGUUUCCGCCCUUCAGUGCUGCAGCUAACGCAUUAAGCAUUCCGCCUGGGGAGUACGGCCGCAAGGCUGAAACUCAAAGGAAUUGACGGGGGCCCGCACAAGCGGUGGAGCAUGUGGUUUAAUUCGAAGCUACGCGAAGAACCUUACCAGGUCUUGACAUACUAUGCAAAUCUAAGAGAUUAGACGUUCCCUUCGGGGACAUGGAUACAGGUGGUGCAUGGUUGUCGUCAGCUCGUGUCGUGAGAUGUUGGGUUAAGUCCCGCAACGAGCGCAACCCUUAUUAUCAGUUGCCAGCAUUAAGUUGGGCACUCUGGUGAGACUGCCGGUGACAAACCGGAGGAAGGUGGGGAUGACGUCAAAUCAUCAUGCCCCUUAUGACCUGGGCUACACACGUGCUACAAUGGAUGGUACAACGAGUUGCGAACUCGCGAGAGUAAGCUAAUCUUUUAAAGCCAUUCUCAGUUCGGAUUGUAGGCUGCAACUCGCCUACAUGAAGUCGGAAUCGCUAGUAAUCGCGGAUCAGCAUGCCGCGGUGAAUACGUUCCCGGGCCUUGUACACACCGCCCGUCACACCAUGAGAGUUUGUAACACCCAAAGUCGGUGGGGUAACCUUUAGAACCAGCCGCCUA